AUCAUCGGAAAAUCUCUACAUUUUUUUACUUUUUUAAAAUUAUUAUUCUCUGUGUCAGGAGGGGGGGGGGAGCAAGUGCCCUUCCCUGCCCCACCCUGACUACGCCCAUAAUAAAGUUUAUAUUCGAUUGAUUUGUGUCACUAUUAUUUGCUCGUUGAGAUUCGCAGACACAGCUGUUUCAUCCGCGUGACGUCAUAUUAUCUUUCUAAACGUGAUCACGAUAAAUAUGAGAAGAUAUCGAAUCGUUAUCUACGAUUAAUGAUUAUUGUAUUUUGCUAAUUAGUGCGUGCGCGAUCAUAAUUACUGUAUUUUCGCGAGUGUCAUCAAACAACAGAAUAUAAAAGGCCCGCACAUAGCAACGUCAAACGUGAGAGCCUCUGGUGCAGUCCAUUUGAUUGGAAGCUUUCCACCAUCGAGGGAAAAGUUUUCAUCCCGUGCCAAUCCGAAAUCGGAUACCUUAGCGGAAUUAUCCUCUGCCACAAGAACAUUUCUCGCUGCCAAGUCUCGAUGAACAACAUGUCUGGAUUCCAGAAACGUGUAGUCGUCCUCUCGAGCGUAAAUAAUCCACCAGGGAUCCUUUACUCAUAUAUUCCGUAACCAGGUACAUAUGUUGAUUAUUAAAAACGAGACCGAGUAAUUUAACUAGAUUGUCAUGUAUCAAGGAGGUCAUUAAACUUGCCUCGGCCAGA